AAAAUGCGAUAAGUAAUGUGAAUUGUAGAAUUCAGUGAAUCAUCGAAUCUUUGAACGCACAUUGCGCCCGCCAGUAUUCUGGCGGGCAUGCCUGUCUGAGCGUCAUUUCAACCCUCGGGACCCCGUUCGCGGGACCCGGCGUUGGGGAUCAGCCCGAAGCCCCCCCGGGGCGGGCGGCUGGCCCCGAAAUCUAGUGGCGGUCCCCCCAGCGACCUCCUCUGCGCAGUAGUAACUCACCUCGCAGCUGGACAGCGGGAGGGCCACGCCGUAAAACCCCCAACUUCUCAAAGGUUGACCUCAGAUCAGGUAGGAAUACCCGCUGAACUUAAGC
rnacentral:misc_RNA from 1 species